UACGAAGGGGGCUAGCGUUGCUCGGAAUGACUGGGCGUAAAGGGCGCGUAGGCGGAGUGCUUUGUCGGGCGUGAAAUUCCAGGGCUCAACCUUGGGGCUGCGUUCGAGACGGGUGCUCUUGAGUUUGGAAGAGGGUCGUGGAAUUCCCAGUGUAGAGGUGAAAUUCGUAGAUAUUGGGAAGAACACCGGUGGCGAAGGCGGCGACCUGGUCCAAGACUGACGCUGAGGCGCGAAAGUGUGGGGAGCGAACAGG
rnacentral:rRNA from 1 species